GCCGGGCGUGGUGGUACAUGCCUGUAAUCCCAGAGGCUUGGGAGGCUGAGGCAGGAGGAUUGUGAGUUCAAAGCCAGCCUUAGCAAAAGCGAGGUGCUAAGCAACUGAGUGAGAUCCUGUCUCUA
rnacentral:sRNA from 1 species